CCUCUUUCCCCUCCCUCCUCCUCCUCCCUUCUCCUCCUCCUCCUUCCUAGUUCCUGCAGUUUGGGUCUCUUUUAGGUUUGUUGAUUUAUAAUUUUAAAUAGGCAAUAGAUUAACACACUUCAAGUAUUUUAUUUUCAACUAUUCAAAGGUAUACAGUGAAAAGCCUUCACCCCAGAAGAACAUCAGACAAGUCCUCUAACUGAGGAACCAUCUAUAAAGUAUCUGACCAGUCCUCAAAACUGUCAAGGCCACCAAAAACAAGGCAAGACUGAGAAACUGCCACAGCCAGGAGGAGCCUAAGGAGACAGGACCAUUAAAUGUGAUGUGGGAGCCUGCAUGGGAUCCUGGAACAGAAAAAGGACAUUUGGGGAAAACUAAGGAAAUCCGAGGCAAGAUGGACUUCAGGCAAUCAUAGAUCAGUGCUGGUUCAUUAACUGUAACCAAAGUACCACACUAACCCUGGAAAGACCCUCAUUCCUGUGGCCAGUUCCCUGUUCAUGGACUUGGGCUCUGCGAUGUCCUGCAGUCCUAACACGACUUGAGGACAAAACCGAGGGCAUAACCCUGGCAAACAGUGGACUUCGAAUCUCUACCUCGCUGUCCUUGAAGUUGGCCCGCCAGCAAACUGCCUGAGUUUUUGAAGCACUUCAAACUUCCAACCGUCAGUGCAUGCCCCCAAAGCCCUUCUGCACGCCGGUCGUCGGCUGGAGUUCAUUCUUAAUUUACGUUUCUUAAGGUGACCAGCCUCCUACGUGGCCAAAAGAUGAGGUGUUCGGCAUCUGUUACGAGCCUGGGCCGUGAGCCUCUGGCGAAGAUUUCUCACUCUCUCCAUAAGAUCCUGUUCCAUGGUGUCCCAUUGUACUCUUCUUUGAUUUAAAGAAACUUGAAAACAAAAUUUUAAGAGUUCAGCUCAUCAGCAUGAAGCCGAUGGUCUCCAGCAGUUCCAACACCAGUGGCCUCAGCGGUCCAUCACGGUGCCGAGAGCAAACACACAUUUUCAGUGGCUGCUGGAUGGAGCCCAGCCCAGAAGAAGAGAGUCAGAAAAUUUCAAAUACGUAAUAGCUUUGAAAACCAAUGCUCAGAUUUUCUUUCCAGAAGGAUGUAAAAAACAGUUACGAAUGUCAUUAAUGUAGUGAGUAACAGACUUCUGUAGCAGCCUGCAACCGUUUCUGGACAAUGAAAUUCAUUCCGGUGCUAAUGAAAUCGCAUCGAUAUCUGGUAAACGCUCCUGACUUGGUUUCGGUCUGAUCUCUUUUUAACUCCCCAUUAGAAAUUUGAGAAUUCUGCUCCCUCCAUUUCAGGAUUGCCAUUAUCCAUGCCCUGGGAAAAUGGCGUCAAUAUGCUGUAAAUAUAAUUCAAGCCACAAUCUUGCUUAAAUUAAUGCUAAAUUUUAAAUGGCAGAAGAGGGGCACCUGGGUGGCCCAGUAGGCUGGGCGCCCAACUCUUGAUCUCAGCUCAGAUCAUGAUGUCACGGUUCACGAGAUUGAGCCCCGAGUUGGGCUC